rfam:Dacryopinax sp. DJM-731 SS1 chromosome Tnknown DACRYscaffold_2, whole genome shotgun sequence.
GACACUAUGCCCGAGCGGUUAAGGGGUGAGAUUCGAAUUCCGUAUUAUCUCAUACGCGUAGCGUGCGCAGGUUCAAAUCCUGCUGGUGUCG